UGCAAAGAAAGAAGUUAAGAACAAGUAAGAACAGAUCUGACAUCUCUGAAGCUACUAUCAGCAGAAGCACUGGAAAGACCCUUUCCUCCCCCUGCGCCAGGUUUAGCUGAACACGGUGUGAAUUGCUGCUGCUCCAGAAUCCUCUGCUUUGGAAAACAAGACUGUUGUCUUAUCCCAAUCAAAUCAGUUAUUUCAGUCGUGUUGGGGCAAUGUGAAAAUGAGGUGGCAGCAGAGUCCAGGAAAAAAAGGGAGCUGUCAUGUGAAUUGACCUUGAGAUGCAGCACCAGAAUGAGUGACCUUGAGAUGCAGCCAAAUCAGAAAAAAGAGAAAAUCACAAUGUGACUGUAUCAGAUGAAGAUGUCCCAGUCUGCAUUAAUCCUGCUCUAGUUACCUGGAAACUGUCUAUCCAGUUGUAUGUGAAAACCUGGAGCACGUGUCACUGAGCCAAAUUCCAUCAUCUGCCAGUUGGUGUGGAAAAGGGGCCCUUUCUGUCCUUGGGGGCUUGUGUCUCCUGAAGUUCAGCCUUCAGCAGCUACUUGGGAACUUCUGCCACAACUGAGAGCACUGUCUGCUCAGGCAAACCACUUUGCUUGGCCAGCAAUUUUCUAGCACUCCCCUGGGAUGGUGCUGGGAACUACCUUCAUGCUUCAGUUUUAAGGCAUGGCUAACAAGUCACUAUUAAACAUUGGCCCACGUCACAAGAAUCACCAUUUGCUGUCACAGUAAUAAGGGCAGCUGAAGACUCACUGAGAAUCACCAUUCUGUGCCCUUCAAGGAAGUCUCCUCCUAGGACUGGUAUACCAGGAACAGCUGUGCCCAUUCUAGAAGCAAAGCUUAAAGUCCUCCUCCUCUAAUCAACAGUGUGUGUAGGAGUAGACCAAGGCUUCUGCUAAGAGCUGAAAAUAUGGAGAACCAUCACAAUGACUAGACAGUUUUUCAUGGAGCUGCACAACGCUAAGUACCUGGAAAAAAAAGACAUGCCAAAAAGAUGAAGUUAUCAGAGUGAAAGAAUGCACAGUAAGGAAACAGAGUAAAUGGAUCUCUCUGUUGAGGAGGAAAGAAGCCCUGCUCGAGAAAUUGCCAACUGGUUGGUUAUUCUUUGCUGGCCUUCACUCAGCUUCAGAAAAGACUUGGUUUUAUAAGGAUUCAGCUGUCACUGCAAAAUACACAGUGCUGCUCUGUGCAUCCAACCUGACAGAAAACUAUCUCCAAGCAAAAUCAGCAAGUCCUCCUGUCACAAAAAAAAUGAAGUGACAGGUGCUUAGCCUCAUUUUUCAUGCUAGCUUUGCUGUGCCAUUUUCACCAAUAAUGAAGGCAGCUGCCAGAGCUUGAGGAAAUCAGGCGAAAAAUUCAGCUGGCAGUUCAGUAAAUGUUAGCGUGGACAACUAGCCUAGCUCAAGCCUCAGCAGAGGAGCAUCCUAUUAAAGAGAAGAUCCAGGAAGUGCAUGAUUGAACCCGGAUAAAAAGCUUUCAGCUAAGGCCUUCCAGAAAAUGAAUGCUGCAUUCCUCCUGCUGGGACUUUGUGUUGAAGAAGGAAACAGAUGCUUCAUUUGGUUUCUUCUCUCACACAAAAAUCAAUGAAAAAGGUUGUGUUUAUAGUGCUGGGAUGCAUUUUUGGGAGAGCAGCCUCCAGCUGGAACCUUAAAAUACUGAAGUGGAACGAUGGGCUGCUGAGACUGCGAUAGUGAUGCAAAAGGUGGUCCAGAAUGUCGAUACCAUGCUAACUUGAAUGCAUAUUACCGAACUGCACUGUUGUAAAAUCAAAUUGUCAUGGUUAAGACACAUCUAUCUGAAUCUCCAACCCUGCAAACCCUCGUGCACUUUAUGCUUUCUCCCCCUUUUACUGGAUGACUUCAAGUCUAUUAGUUCAUCGUUGCUUCAUUUUCCACAGCUGUAAAGUAGCAAUGGGAUGUAUGCCUAGCUGCUGCUCAGGUGAGGUCAAGAGGAGAAAGAGCAGAGAACAGUCAUGUCACUCGUCUGGAAGACCUUUCAAAAAAGUCUUCACCGAUACUAGAAAUGCACACAGUUUCAUUCUGCUCACAUCCAGUACUGAGAAAGUUGACCAGUUGACCGCUUCACCCUAUAAUUCGGUUUCUGCAGCACCUUCCUCCUAUAGAAAUUGUUGACAGAUGGAUUUCUGAUUGUUUUCCUGUGGUCACCAAUGCAAACAAGGGACCCAUCUAAGUGACAGGAGAUACCUGCAUGGGUAACAACUGGUUUGGAAGAAGAUCUAAAAGGAUUUGUGUGGUUCUUCAAAUACUGGAUGUGUAUUGACCCCAGAGUUUCUUCAAAAAGAUGGCCUAAUUCAUUGGACUUUGCCUUCCAUGAUCUGACUGCCAGCGAUGGUUGUCCAGGGAAGUACUCAGAUACUGAGCACUUAAUAUGGCAUUGAAUAUUUAUGCUCUACUGAAGGAGCGGUGCUUAAAAAGCUUGCUAAAGACUUCAGCAUAAAGGGGAAAGCCUUAGGAUUGCGCACUUGGUCUACUGUCACAUGAAGAUGAAGAGUUCUUCGGCCUAUUUGUCAUGCCUGGAAACGUCUAAUCCACUCAUAUAUAUACAUUUAUUUUUCAAAAUAGAAGAGGCAUACCAUUUUCACCCUAUUUCCUCACUGGACUUCUACCUGCAGAAAUUUCUUUGUUUUCAUCAUCUCUUCUUACUUAUUGGUAGACAUGACGAUCUCUUUGGAAAUGUGUGCUCAUCAUGAAAGAACAGAUUAUAUCUCACACUGCUACUUUCAGUGGUUGUGUUCUCUCAUUCUGUCUGUCUUGUGCUUUAGAAUACAAACUUAAAGGUCUGGCUAUACAUGCAAAUUGCACAAGCUGAACUAAAUCACUUCCAAAGUUGAGUUUGGUUCAGUUUAAUUGUUUGGGUAUUUAAACCAGUUACCUAAUUAAACUAAAUCUGUAUUAGUUACAACUAAGCUGAUUUAGGAUUAUGCACAGAAGGGAUUGGAUCUAUUUAAUUAAUUCUGAAAGCAAUUGUUUUAAUUCUGUUGAUACAAUUUCUGUGUUUAGAUUUCACCUUGGAUAUAUUUUUAAAUUGUGAAAAGAACCAGGUAUCUUAAAACCUUGAGAACAUAAGUUUUUUAAAAAAUUUGUGAAAAUUACUUUGUCUAAGCACAAGAGAACUUCCUGAUUGUACCAAGAACAGAAAAAGAAGAGAAAGGGGAGCAAAACAUGAAGCUGAUCUGCCUAAUUUAAUUGUGCAAUACUAACAACUAAAUAUCAAUGAUAGGUUGUGAUCCACAAUCCUAUUACCAAGGCUUAAAGUGCUUUGUAUGAGCUGAGCCUUGCAGGCUGCCCAUAUGAAUCUUUAUAGCACAUAUCAAAUCUUAGAUAAAUUGAUUUAGCUAAGCCCAUACUGUGUGUAAUGGGGCUUUCUCAAAACAUUCUACCUGCUAAGCAUAUAAAAAUACCAUGAGACAAGUGAACACAAUAAACAUAAGAAAAACAGCACGCAUUUAAUGUGUGCUGGCAGUAAGGAGAUAAUCAUGACCAUGGCAUCUGAGAAAGUCUCUACACUGCUUGUACCAUUUGGGGUUUGUCUUCUAACUUCUGGGGCUUCUCAGACUCUCCCCCUUCGUAAUCUGGAUGAUAACAUCCAAUUCAGUAGCAGAGUAAGGCUUUGAUAUUUGUAUCAUGAGGUCCUUGGAGGAAAGGACUGUUUGAAAUAUAGAGAUAUUACAAUUAAGUUUUUUCUUAGUGUUUGUAGACUAUAUUUUGCCCUUUUGCAUUGAUUUGAUAAACCUUUUGCAUUAAGGAUAGCACGCACGCGCACACACUCCUAAAAAGCCUCCCAAAACCAAAAAACCAAAAGUCACAAAAUCCUUAUCCUGUAAUAAGGAGUUGGGAGUGUUUUCCCUUGAAGAUGUGAUGUUCUGCACUCUCUUCUAAAACUAACCUAUGAAUAUUUAAGGCAAAUACUACAUCGCUGUAGUAUUUCUCUGUUCAGAUUGAUCACAUCAGUUUAGAAUACUCUAAA